rnacentral:rRNA from 1 species
GAUAAGUAAUGUGAUGCAGAAUUCAGUGAAUCAUCGAAUCUUUGAACGCACCUUGCGCCCYUUGGUAUUCCGAAGGGCAYGCCUGUUUGAGUG